AGUGAACGCUGGCGGUAGGCCUAACACAUGCCAGUCGAACGGCAGCACAGUAAGAGCUUGCUCUUACGGGUGGCGAGUGGCGGACGGGUGAGGAAUACAUCGGAAUCUACUUUUUCGUGGGGGAUAACGUAGGGAAACUUACGCUAAUACCGCAUACGACCUACGGGUGAAAGCAGGGGAUCUUCGGACCUUGCGCGAUUGAAUGAGCCGAUGUCGGAUUAGCUAGAUGGCGGGGUAAAGGCCCACCAAGGCGACGAUCCGUAGCUGGUCUGAGAGGAUGAUCAGCCACACUGGAACUGAGACACGGUCCAGACUCCUACGGGAGGCAGCAGUGGGGAAUAUUGGACAAUGGGCGCAAGCCUGAUCCAGCCAUACCGCGUGGGUGAAGAAGGCCUUCGGGUUGUAAAGCCCUUUUGUUGGGAAAGAAAAGCAGCAGGUUAAUACCCCGCUGUUCUGACGGUACCCAAAGAAUAAGCACCGGCUAACUUCGUG
rnacentral:rRNA from 1 species